rfam:Picea glauca, whole genome shotgun sequence.
GGGUGCGAUCAUAGCAGCGUUAAUGCACCAGAUCCCAUUAGAACUCCGCAGUUAAGCGGGCUUGGGCUAGAAUAGUACUGGGAUGGUUGACCUUCCGGGAAGUCAUAGUGUUGUACCCU